GAUGAACGCUGGCGGCGUGCCUAAUACAUGCAAGUCGAGCGAACAGAUAAGGAGCUUGCUCCUUUGACGUUAGCGGCGGACGGGUGAGUAACACGUGGGUAACUUACCUAUAAGACUGGAAUAACUCCGGGAAACCGGGGCUAAUGCCGGAUAACAUGUUGAACCGCAUGGUUCUACAGUGAAAGGCGGCUUUGCUGUCACUUAUAGAUGGACCCGCGCCGUAUUAGCUAGUUGGUGAGGUGACGGCUCACCAAGGCAACGAUACGUAGCCGACCUGAGAGGGUGAUCGGCCACACUGGAACUGAGACACGGUCCAGACUCCUACGGGAGGUAGCAGUAGGGAAUCUUCCGCAAUGGGCGAAAGCCUGACGGAGCAACGCCGCGUGAGUGAUGAAGGUCUUCGGAUCGUAAAACUCUGUUAUUAGGGAAGAACAAAUGCGUAAGUAACUGUGCGCGUCUUGACGGUACCUAAUCAGAAAGCCACGGCUAACUACGUG
rnacentral:rRNA from 1 species